AUGAUUAUAUUUCUAUGGUUCCACCAUUACUGUUAUCCCCACACUACCACCUCUGUGGUUAUUGUCAAGCCUGCGCUAAAGCGAAUUUGUUUUCCUGAUUCAAUUUACAUUUUUAACAGGAGUAAAUCCUUUCAGAAUACCCAAGCCCUUAAUAUGUUUCUCCCUCCCUGUGCUGUCUGUCGUGUUCUCAACGCCAGCCGGGGGAAAACAGUGGGGAAACCAAACAGUGGGGAAACCAAACAGUGGGAAAACCAAACAGUGGGGAAACAAACAGUGGGAAAACCAAACAGUGGGGAAAACCAAACAGUGGGAAAACCAAACAGUGGGAAAACCAAACAGUGGGGAAAACCAAACAGUGGGGAAACAAACAGUGGGAAAACCAAACAGUGGGGAAAACCAAACAGUGGGAAAACCAAACAGUGGGAAAACCAAACAGUGGGGAAAACCAAACAGUGGGAAAACCAAACAGUGGGAAAACCAAACAGUGGGGAAAACCAAACAGUGGGAAAACCAAACAGUGGGAAAACCAAACAGUGGGGAAAACCAAACAGUGGGAAAACCAAACAGUGGGAAAACCAAACAGUGGGGAAAACCAAACAGUGGGAAAACCAAACAGUGGGAAAACCAAACAGUGGGAAAACCAAACAGUGGGGAAAACCAAACAGUGGGGAAACCAAACAGUGGGAAAACCAAACAGUGGGGAAAACCAAACAGUGGGGAAAACCAAACAGUGGGGAAACCAAACAGUGGGAAAACCAAACAGUGGGGAAAACCAAACAGUGGGGAAAACCAAACAGUGGGGAAAACCAAACAGUGGGGAAACCAAACAGUGGGGAAACCAAACAGUGGGAAAACCAAACAGUGGGAAAACCAAACAGUGGGAAAACCAAACAGUGGGGAAACCAAACAGUGGGGAAACCAAACAGUGGGGAAACCAAACAGUGGGGAAACCAAACAGUGGGAAAACCAAACAGUGGGAAAACCAAACAGUGGGGAAAACCAAACAGUGGGGAAAACCAAACAGUGGGAAAACCAAACAGUGGGGAAAACCAAACAGUGGGAAAACCAAACAGUGGGGAAAACCAAACAGUGGGAAAACCAAACAGUGGGGAAAACCAAACAGUGGGAAAACCAAACAGUGGGAAAACCAAACAGUGGGGAAAACCAAACAGUGGGAAAACCAAACAGUGGGAAAACCAAACAGUGGGAAAACCAAACAGUGGGAAAACCAAACAGUGGGGAAACCAAACAGUGGGAAAACCAAACAGUGGGGAAAACCAAACAGUGGGAAAACCAAACAGUGGGGAAAACAGUGGGGAAUCCAAACAGUGGGGAAAACAAACAGUGGGAAAACCAAACAGUGGGGAAACCAAACAGUGGGAAAAACAAACAGUGGGGAAAACAGUGGGGAAACCAAACAGUGGGGAAAACCAAACAGUGGGGAAACAAACAGUGGGAAAACCAAACAGUGGGAAAACCAAACAGUGGGGAAAACCAAACAGUGGGGAAACAAACAGUGGGAAAAUCAAACAGUGGGGAAAACCAAACAGUGGGAAAACCAAACAGUGGGAAAACCAAACAGUGGGGAAAACCAAACAGUGGGAAAACCAAACAGUGGGAAAACCAAACAGUGGGGAAAACCAAACAGUGGGAAAACCAAACAGUGGGAAAACCAAACAGUGGGGAAAACCAAACAGUGGGAAAACCAAACAGUGGGAAAACCAAACAGUGGGGAAAACCAAACAGUGGGAAAACCAAACAGUGGGAAAACCAAACAGUGGGAAAACCAAACAGUGGGAAAACCAAACAGUGGGGAAAACCAAACAGUGGGGAAACCAAACAGUGGGAAAACCAAACAGUGGGGAAAACCAAACAGUGGGGAAAACCAAACAGUGGGGAAACCAAACAGUGGGAAAACCAAACAGUGGGGAAAACCAAACAGUGGGGAAAACCAAACAGUGGGGAAACCAAACAGUGGGGAAACCAAACAGUGGGGAAACCAAACACUGGGGAAACCAAACAGUGGGAAAACCAAACAGUGGGAAAACCAAACAGUGGGAAAACCAAACAGUGGGGAAACCAAACAGUGGGGAAACCAAACAGUGGGGAAACCAAACAGUGGGAAAACCAAACAGUGGGAAAACCAAACAGUGGGAAAACCAAACAGUGGGGAAAACCAAACAGUGGGGAAAACCAAACAGUGGGAAAACCAAACUGUGGGGAAAACCAAACAGUGGGAAAACCAAACAGUGGGAAAAACAGUGGGGAAACCAAACAGUGGGGAAACCAAACAGUGGGGAAAACAAACAGUGGGAAAACCAAACAGUGGGAAAACCAAACAGUGGGAAAACCAAACAGUGGGAAAACCAAACAGUGGGAAAACCAAACAGUGGGAAAACCAAACAGUGGGGAAAACCAAACAGUGGGAAAACCAAACAGUGGGAAAACCAAACAGUGGGGAAAACCAAACAGUGGGAAAACCAAACAGUGGGGAAAACCAAACAGUGGGAAAACCAAACAGUGGGAAAACCAAACAGUGGGGAAAACCAAACAGUGGGAAAACCAAACAGUGGGAAAACAAACAGUGGGAAAACCAAACAGUGGGAAAACCAAACAGUGGGAAAACCAAACAGUGGGAAAACCAAACAGUGGGAAAACCAAAGCGUGUUUGAGUUUGUUUCUUUAUUAAUCCUCUCAGUUAUUAUUGUUCAUGAUCAUAGGAGAGCUGAUGAGCUGCGUGAUGUUUUUGGAGAAAGCGUGUGUUAUUGA
ensembl:lncRNA